rnacentral:rRNA from 1 species
GAUGAACGCUGGCGGCGUGCCUAAUACAUGCAAGUCGAGCGAACGGACGAGAAGCUUGCUUCUCUGAUGUUAGCGGCGGACGGGUGAGUAACACGUGGAUAACCUACCUAUAAGACUGGGAUAACUUCGGGAAACCGGAGCUAAUACCGGAUAAUAUUUUGAACCGCAUGGUUCAAAAGUGAAAGACGGUCUUGCUGUCACUUAUAGAUGGAUCCGCGCUGCAUUAGCUAGUUGGUAAGGUAACGGCUUACCAAGGCAACGAUGCAUAGCCGACCUGAGAGGGUGAUCGGCCACACUGGAACUGAGACACGGUCCAGACUCCUACGGGAGGCAGCAGUAGGGAAUCUUCCGCAAUGGGCGAAAGCCUGACGUAGCAACGCCGCGUGAGUGAUGAAGGUCUUCGGCUCCUAAAACUCUGUUAUUAGGGAAGAACAUAUGUGUAAGUAACUGUGCACAUCUUGACGGUACCUAAUCAGAAAGCCACGGCUAACUACGUG